AAACCUUUGACCAAAAAAUUGUUUGAAAAAAAUAAAGAAAAAACUUUUUGAUCUGAUAGCAUGUAACUGCAAGCUUGAAGUUUUUCCUUGUGAUGACAGGAAUAUCAAAUGCUCAGGUUGUUCAAAUGUGCAUCUUUACUGUAGUUGUGUUGGUAGUACAAAAGUUCCUUUGGAAGAGCGCUCCUAUUUAAAAGACCAAAGGGAGAAAAUUGGUACUAAAGAAAAGUUUCAAAUAGGAGGUAUUGAUAACUCUAUUUUAUCACCUACCUCAAGAAAAACAAUGCAAACAAAAGCUUCUGAUGAAGAAAUUUAUAUUAAAGAGUUUGACACAAUCAUGGAUUCAGAUCAGUGUGAAACUUCAAUUUCAUCAUUAAAUCAGACUAGAUCAAAGUACUAUAACACUACCCACUAUCUCAAAUUUGCUUUAGAG